GUGCAGCUGCAGCGUUUUCGCUUACACAUAAAACUGUAAACACCAAAUAUGUAGGGGCUAGGACCUAGAGGUAGGGUGCAGGUUGGGCCUAGAGGUAGGGUGUAGUUUGGGCCUAGAGGUAGGGUGCAGGUAGUGGAUAGAGGUAGGGUGCAGGUAGUGGAUAGAGGUAGGGUGCAGGUUGGGCCUAGAGGUAGGGUGCAGGUAGAGCUUAGAGGUAGGGUGCAGGUAGUGGAUAGAGGUAGGGUGCAGGUAGAGCUUAGAGGUAGGGUGCAGGUAGGGCCUAGAGGUAGGGUGCAGGUAGGGCCUAGAGGUAGGGUGCAGGUAGAGCUUAGAGGUAGGGUGCAGGUAGGGCCUAGAGGUAGGGUGCAGGUAGGGCCUAGAGGUAGGGUGCAGGUAGUGGAUAGAGGUAGGGUGCAGGUAGGGCCUAGAGGUAGGGUGCAGGUAGUGGAUAGAGGUAGGGUGCAGGUUGGGCCUAGAGGUAGGGUGCAGGUAGAGCUUAGAGGUAGGGUGCAGGUAGUGGAUAGAGGUAGGGUGCAGGUUGGGCCUAGAGGUAGGGUGCAGGUAGAGCUUAGAG